rnacentral:rRNA from 1 species
UAGUCCACGCCGUAAACGAUGUCAACUAGCCGUUGGAGGGCAUGUCCCUUUAGUGGCGCAGCUAACGCGAUAAGUUGACCGCCUGGGGAGUACGGUCGCAAGAUUAAAACUCAAAGGAAUUGACGGGGGCCCGCACAAGCGGUGGAGCAUGUGGUUUAAUUCGAUGCAACGCGAAAAACCUUACCUACCCUUGACAUCCUUGGAACGGUCUAGAGAUAGACUGGUGCCUUCGGGAACCAAGUGACAGGUGGUGCAUGGCUGUCGUCGGCUCGUGUCGUGAGAUGUUGGGUUAAGUCCCGCAACGAGCGCAACCCUUGUUUUUAGUUGCCAUCAUUUAGUUGGGCACUUUAAAAAGGCUGCCGGUGACAAACCGGAGGAAGGUGAGGAUGACGUCAAGUCAGCAUGCCCCUUAUGUUCUGGGCUACACACGUGCUACAAUGGUUAGGACAAAGAGUCGCCAACUUGCAAAAGUGAGCUAAUCUCGUAAACCUAAUCUCAGUUCGGAUCGCAGG